rnacentral:rRNA from 1 species
UACGGAGGGUGCAAGCGUUAUCCGGAUUUACUGGGCUUAAAGGGUGCGCAGGCGGUUAUGUAAGUCAGUGGUGAAAUCUCCGGGCUUAACCCGGAAAUUGCCGUUGAUACUAUAUAUCUUGAAUGCUGUGGAGGUAAGCAGAAUAUGUCAUGUAGCGGUGAAAUGCUUAGAUAUGACAUAGAAUACCUAUUGCGAAGGCAGCUUGCUACGCAGAUAUUGACGCUCAUGCACGAAAGCGUGGGGAUCAAACAGG